rnacentral:siRNA from 1 species
GUGGUGAACUUCUUGCAACGGAGU